rnacentral:lncRNA from 1 species
AAUCCUUGAGAACCAGAUAAUCACUUUGGGGUUUAAGAUACCUAGGCAGAAUUUUUCUGAUUGUGUUGGCGGUCAAACAGAAAAACCCUCUCUGCGGUACCCAAUUCCCUGAAGGGAUUAUCCAAUUCUCGAGGAUUGUCAAAAUUCAGCUUCUAUAAACAUUCAUAUGCACUCAACCAAAACAAAGCUCAGAAACCAAAAUUUCAUGUCUCUGAUAUUCUACUUGUAAACUAAAUAUGCCAAUACUUCUUGAAUUUUCUGAUUUUCAAAUAUAUUUACUACAGAUCAAAGCAUCAAAUUUCAGGUCCCCCUUCUGAUCAGACUUGGCUGAGUUCUUGUACAUCCUGCACAGCCUGGCCUGGUCAGGGUUUUACUGCCGGUCAGAUGACCAAGUGACCAUAUUUCUAUUCCCCAGUCACCCUUGGGGUAAAAUUGAUAACUUAAAAGUACCUGUAGGCUGGUCUUUAGUUUAAAUAAAUGAGUCACCCUUUUUUACCAAUUUGAACUACUUGAAAGUAACCAAUGAAAACAUUUAUUUAGUAUUUGACCAAAGAAGCUUUUCAAUUCAUUACCACUGAAUACAGUUCAAUUUCAUGGUUGCCUAUAGUAUUUAUGUGGACUUAAUGUGGCCUGAUGGCAAGUGUAAUUCUUUGAUGAAUAUUCUAGUCUGGCCGAUUGGUGAAAAAAUUGCUCAAAUAAUGAGGAAUUGAGCACCACAUUUUGCAUGAAGGUACAUUUUUGUGUACUGAGCAAUAUUAGCUAUGGAUCCAACCUCAAAAUUCAAUAUGGCGGCUUAUUUCAAGAUGGCUGUCAUACAUUUUAAAAUAUUUUCAAGUAUUACACAACCCACAGUGGAUUUGAUGCUGGAAACACAAAAUUCAACAUAUUUGAAUGAUUUGAUGUACUUAACAAGAUUUUGUUUUGAUUUAGCUAUCUUUCAAAUUCAAAAUGGCAGUUGGCAUUCAUUUUCUCCUAUGUGCUUACAUGUCACAUGUAGGUCUCAAGUCGCCACUUGGCAUCCAUUUAUCAAUAUUACUUAAGCUGUCAUUUUCCUCCAGGACAAAAGUAUAAAUUGUAACAAUUGCAGGCUGCCAGCUUCUCACUUUUGAUUUGGCUGUUGAAUACAAAGGACGUUUACUCUAUGAUAGGAAUAAGUUUUCAAUUUCACCCACCAUCCACCCCAAUCUACCACCUUCAAUAUUUCACUGAAUGUAGGAACAUUUCUCAGCAACCCAGUGGUGUUUUAUAAAUAAAUGACCAUUACGAAAUUCACCACUAGUAGUAUCCAGGAUUACAUAGAAUGUGUUAGGGGCGUCACUUGGCAUUCAUCGUCUCCUGUGUGCUUACAUGUCAUGUAGGUCUCAAAAGUUAUCACUUGGCAUCUGUCUAUCAAUAUUGCUUAAGCUGUCAUUUUCCUCAUUGACCAAAGUAUAAAGUGGGGAAAGGAUAGACAUGGGAUUCAAUGCAAAAUAUUGUUUGUCGCCAGCUUGGCAAACUUGAUGAUAUAUAUAUUCACCAAGCCAAAAAUUUAGUUGCAUUAGGCGACCUGGC